AAGAUGUCCAGCAGAUAGUGCCAUUUUGUUCCUCCAUCAAGAUUCCCAGUAAGGCCAUAAAGCUGAUGUCCGAGGGCUCCUGUUAUGGAUCAAAGCGUGAGCAUCAGGAAUCCAUCACUGGCCAACUUCUGUGAGGAUCUUUAACUCCUCUAACCCGGGAUGCAGGCCUUUCAAAGAAGCAGUAACAAUCGUGCAAUGGUGGAUCAGAAACAGAAUUGGAGCUAUUUUAUCUGGACCUAAUUAAACAACCUUCAUUACUGGCAGUAGCCUCUCUGAAUGCACCUGUG